UGAGCUGCCUGCAGCUCUGGCUCUGCUGCCUGAGGAGGGACCUCAUGAGCCAGAUCAGGCGCAGAGGGAGGCAGCAAAGGGAACGGGACAGCCCUGGAGCUGCUUAAUUCAGGGAAGGGGAAUGGAGGAGGCAUGUGAAACCAUCAACUGGAGGUGUUCGUGUCCCCGGUAGAAGUAAGAGUUGAAUGGAGCUGGGAGGGGCAGGUUUAAAAGCCGAGCUGUCUCUUCCCAGCCCUCCCCUGCACAGGAUGUGGCGGAUCCUCACGGGCCAGAAGUGACAUCUCCUGUCCCCUGUGGCACAGUUCCAUCCUCCCCCGUUCGCAGAGGAGGCAAAUCAGCAAGGAGGGACGAGGGGGGAUUUUCAGGGGUGAUGGUGAGAGAGCGGUGCUCGGUUUGUGGUUGGUAUUUACAGUCCCCAAAAGACUUUUCAAUCCCACAGCUUCCUCCUGCACGGUUUCACGUGCCUCAGGAGCUGGGGAAAGCAGUACGGGAAGAUUUUCAGCCCUGAAAGAGUUAAAUCCUCUCGCCUGCACCGCCUGGGCAAUAAUUCAGCUGCUGCUUCAUAUCCCUGAGCAGGUCGCCUCCUCCCAGGUGUAAAAAUGCAUCUCCCGAGGUGGCGGGGCAGUGCCACUGUCACCCCGUGCCCUCUCCCCCCGUGCCCCGAGCUGCUCUAAUUCGGGGUUCCUGCCUCGGCCGUGGCGUCAUGAGCUGGAUGAGCUCAGGCUUUAAGCCACAAAGGCUUCUUAAGGGGAAAAACCCCUGUCUGGGUCUGGUUAUUGGGACACAGCGCCGGCAGGCCAGGCUGGGCUUAGCGGGAUAAUGGAGAAGAGUGGGGGGAGCUGGGGGGGCUGUGCUGGUACAGCCCUGUGAGAGCCUGGGGGCAGCAUCUGCCAGCAUAGCGCUGGGCCGGGCCGGGAUGAACUGGGAAUGUACUGGGAAUGUACAGGGAAUGCACUGGGAAUGCACGGGAUGUACUGGGAAUGCACGAGAUGCACUGGGAAUGCACAGGAGGCACUGGGAAUGCAUGGGAUGAACUGGGAAUGUACAGGAUGAACUGGGAAUGCACUGGGAAUGCACGGGAUGAACUGGGAAUGCAUUGGGAAUGCACGGGAUGAACUGGGAAUGCAUUGGGAAUGCACGGGAUGAACUGGGAAUGCACAGGAUGAACUGGGAUUGCACGGGAUGCACAGGGAAUGCACAGGGAAGGCACAGGGUGCAUAGGGAAUGCAGGACAUGCAUAGGGAAUGCACAGGAUGCACAUGGAAUGUACAGGAUGCACAGGGAGUGCACAGGGAAUGCACAGGGAAGGCACAGGAUGCACUGGGAAUGCACAGGACAUGCACAGAAUGCACAGAAAAUGCACAGGGAAUAGACAGGAUGCACAGGGGAUGCACAGGGAAUGCACAGGAUGCACAAGAUGCACUGGAGAUGCAUGGGAUGCACUGGGAAUGCACUGGGAAUGCACAGGGAGUGCAUGAGAUGCACAGGGAAGGCACAGAAUGCACAAGAUGCACUGAGGAUGCACAGGAUGCACUGGGAAUGCAGGACAUGCUCAGGGAAUGCACAGGAUGCACUGGGGACUCUCCUGUUGACACCCUAAAGCCUGGGAGUUUUACACUUUCUGUGCUUUCUGGCACUGACCCUGGAGAACACUGCUUUGGUCUUGAAGGCUUCCAAAUGUGAGUGAUGGAGUGAAAAUCACUGGUGUGUGGUUUGGAUAGAAGUGUGAUUUCACAUGGGGAAGGGUUUGGAAUUUGGGGGUUUAGAAUACAGUAAUAGGUACA